rnacentral:rRNA from 1 species
AGGGUUCGAUUCUGGCUCAGGACGAACGCUGGCGGCGCGCCUAACACAUGCAAGUCGAACGGAAUCAAGAGGAGCUUGCUUUUCUUGAUUUAGUGGCGAACGGGUGAGUAACGCGUGAGUAACCUGCCCUGGAGUGGGGGACAACAGUUGGAAACGACUGCUAAUACCGCAUAAGCCCACGGUACCGCAUGGUACUGAGGGAAAAGGAUUUAUUCGCUUCAGGAUGGACUCGCGUCCAAUUAGCUAGUUGGUGAGGUAACGGCCCACCAAGGCGACGAUUGGUAGCCGGACUGAGAGGUUGAACGGCCACAUUGGGACUGAGACACGGCCCAG